rnacentral:snRNA from 1 species
UUUAAUGGCGUCAUAAUCAU